ensembl:lncRNA junctional cadherin complex regulator
GAACGGAAUCGGAUUACCUAAUGUGUGCGGCGUUGCCAUAGUUGCAGUGUAAGGGAGACUACUGACCGAGCAAAACAGCCCAGAGGGAAAAUCGCACUGCUGGAGAAAGAUUAACCUUAUAGAAAUGGAAUACUUGGAUGCACAAGGAACACGCCAGCUUCUGACGACCAACCAGAAGAUAAAUGGCUCCUUCACUGAGAAUCCAAAGAUUUGCAUUGAGGAGUAUCAGUCUAAAGAAGAAUACAGUCAGUCGUGUAGUGAUAUAUACCAACCCGAAAUAAAUGGACAAUACAGAUAUAAUAUUAACACUGGGCCAAUUGUAGUUGAGACUCCUCAUGACCAGCCGUACCACCUUCACCCACCAUAUGUUCAGAGCUCGGAAGAAAUUCAAGGUUGUCAUAAAAAUAAUUUGCAACAAAGAUCACCACAUAAUGAACUUCGCAAGUUGUCCAGAUUUUCUGUUGUAAAUGAAAGUGACAGAGGUUCACAAAGAGAAUCAAUAGAGAGUUGUAAUAAUGGCUUUGUGAAUGCUAAAAAUGUUGGCAUGUAUCUUCAGGUAACAGAGGAUACAAAUGCUUUAGAAUUACAAACCUGCUACCAGCAAGAACCUAGACAAACACAGCAGAGUUCCAGUCAAAAACAGAAACUGAGCAAAUCCACAUUGAGUCCCAAAGAUGUAUGGAACAAAAAACCUGGAAGAAAGACAAAGGAUAUAGUGGAACGUAACAAAAUAACCCUGGGCCACAACACAUCCAGAUCCAAUUUUGGCUCCUAUGUGAGGAUUCACAUGUUGAAACAGGAGAGGCCUCAUGAUGUGAAUGAGGCACACAGUCUGAGAGACUACAAACAGCAGACACGUACAAAUUUGCGAGGCCUAGGAUCUGACCACUCCGUCACUGAAAAGACAAAUAGAAAGAAAAGUGGGAUUCCUUUUCUACUGGCUAAGGAUGUGGAAGAUGACGACAAGAAAGUUCUCAGGACAAAGGCUUUGGAAUAUGCUAAGACCAUAUCUAAACGCCCUUUACAGUUUCAACCAAAACAGAGACAGAGGCAGCCAAUGAACGUCUUCACUGCUUGUGCACCCUACUUGCAGGAUGUGGAUGCAUUGCAGCUGGCCACACUGGAACUACUUAGAAAACGACAUGAAGAAGAGAAGCAGGCUGUGGCACACUUUGGAAAAAGUGCAUCUUAUAUAAAGCAAGAAAUAAACACACAAGCAAAAAUAAAAUAGAUAUUGAUUAUUGAAAUCUUAAGUAGAACUAAGUUUCCACACCUUAAGUGAUUUCCAAAGUGAAAAGCAGUAGAGGGUGGAAAAGGAACAAGUGAUAAUGGCCAAUUCUGUGAACUGCACUGCUUCUUCACUAAGCUGCACUGCUCUGGACAAACACUUCCUCUUCAUACUGGUCAUAACUGAAUCCCUACUUUUCUUGCAGUUGAAUAUUUUUCAUCCCACAGAGUUGUAGUUUUGUUUCAAAACUUGGUGUUUUUACUUCUCCUAUUGCACUUGCUAAAGAGGUAAUUAAAGCUGUGUUUCAGUGCUAUAUAUGAAAGUGGACAAGUUAGCACCCCAUCUGUGGUAGAUGUGUUAACUUUGAUUUGGGAAGCAUGCUUUCAGGUGGCAGGCUUUCAGAAAAUGAGGCCUGCUAUUUUAGGCUGAAAUGAGUUCAUGUGUUUCAAAAUCAUUAAUAUUUUAAUUGAUCACUUUUUGACUAGUUACUGUACUUUUCUGCUGCAAUCAAAAUUUCACUUGAAGACAGCAUGAAUUGCUCUUUAAAAUGCAUGAAGGAUGACAAAUACAGGAAGAAGAGAGGAUUCCAUACGCAAACGUUUAUAAGAAAUGCAAAUGUGUGUAUGUCUGUCUCCUUGUUACACAAUAUCAAGUAUAUUAAGCUGUGUCAGAUUUAAACUCUUUUUUUUUGUUAAAACUUAAAAAGUUCAUUUGUAAGACUAGAUGUACAAUUACUGUAUUUAUACUUAAAGUUUGGACUUGGGACGGCGGUUUUAAUGGUGAGGUUCUAUUCUGACAGAUAGGUAAUGCCCUAUGAUAUACCCCUUUUUUAACAACCUAAACUUACAUAAAAUUAUUAAAGUGAUAAAAAAUGUAAUGUAAUGUAACAUAAUGCCCUCCUGCAUUAUUGGUACUCAGUGCUUCUUAUUCAUCUAUUCAAAAUUCACAAGCCAAUGGCAGAGUUGCUAUGUGGGUUGACCUACAGACUGGGGGCAUUGUAGGGUUCAGGGUCUCGCCCAGGGUGAUGUUGGCAUAUGACAGUAGAAACCACCAAUCAUUUUUUCCCUAUAAAUCUUUACAGAAUUAAAAAUUAAAUGGUAUCUCCAAAUUUAACAGAAGUACAAUACCUAUGUACCAUGUCUGUUUGUUGUAUACAUAAAGCAAGUAGACAUACGUAAUUGUACAGUACGUGCAAUGUGUAUCAGCACAGUAGACAAAUGUCAAGUUUUUGUGACUGAGGACCUGCAGUCCCAAUGAAGUGAUACAGGCAUAUACAGUAUAUCAGCAUUGAGACUGAACAGAAUUGUUAGUAGCAUGAAACCAUUUGUUACAGAUUUGUAACCGCUUGUUUCUUUUACUUUUGUAUGCUUGUAGAAAAACCUGCUCAAAUGAAUAAAAACACUUUGAAGUUCA